rnacentral:rRNA from 1 species
AUACGGAGGGUGCAAGCGUUGUUCGGAAUCACUGGGCGUAAAGGGCGCGCAGGCGGUUUGGUAAGUCAGAUGUGAAAGCCCACGGCUCAACCGUGGAAGUGCAUUUGAAACUGUCAGACUUGAGUACUAGAGGGGAAAGUGGAACUCCCGGUGUAGAGGUGAAAUUCGUAGAUAUCGGGAGGAAUACCGGUGGCGAAGGCGACUUUCUGGCUAGAUACUGACGCUGAGGCGCGAAAGCGUGGGGAGCAAACAGGAUUAGAAACCCCAGUAGUCC